rnacentral:lncRNA from 1 species
UGAUGGUUUCCUGCACCCGUCAACCCACCACCUAGGUAUUAAGCCCCACAUGCAUUAGCUAUUAGUUCUAAUGCUCUCCCUCCCCCCACCCCCCCCAACAGGCCCGGAUGUGUAAUGUUCCCCUCCCUGUGUCCGUGUGUUCUCAUUGUUCAGCUCCCAUUUAUGAGUGAGAACAUGUGGUGUUUGGUUUUCUGUUCCUGUGUUAGUUUGAUGAGGAUGAUGGCUUCCAGAUGUAGCUUAAUUUCAAACCCUAAACCCAUAAUCUGACUGAUAAAAGAAAACAAGUUACCUAGUCACUUCUAGGCAAGCUCAGCCCAAUUCAGUGAUCUCUCAGUCACUUCACUCCAGAUUUAAAAUUUAGCCUCAUUAUGGAGUUCCCUUCCUUUUUGUCUCCCUUCUCUCCCCUGGGGUCCAGUCUGGAGAGAGCGGUCUUGGGUGAGGGGGUGGUCAAUGUUACUGCUGAGGCAGUGAAAAGGGGUGGCCCAUUAUUAUUUUGGUCUUGCUUUGUCACGAUGCUGUGCUGGCCUUGGGCUCCAGAAGGAAAUAGUUUUGUCUACUGAGAUGUGACUUCCCCUGCUUGGUCAGUGGGCUUUGUCCCUGCUCAUCCUGAGGGUUCUGUGGUCCACACUGUGCCCUCCUAGUCCAUACACUGAGCUCCCUGGGGUGGGUCUUCCAGGCCCUCAGCCUCUCCUUGCCCACCUUGUGGGUGCAGGGUGAGUUUGGCUGAUCACAGACUCCUGAGGCCUUUGGGAGAUCCUGUGCAGCAGAGUCACAUUUUCCCCCAACACUCUUGUAACCUCCUGUGUGCCAGUGUUCCCAUAUAAUUGGGGGUACAAUGGAUAUCAGCAAGACUGUGGACCACCAAAGUUCUCUACAGGAUGGGCGAAGGUGAGGGCCCCUCAAUCUGGAGUUUUCAAGCCCACCUGGAUAUCUCUAUCAUUGUUAAUCCCCUCUCCCCUACUGUAGCCUGGACUCUGCCCCAUGGUGGUGGGUGGGAGGGCACCAAGACACAUCAGUAACUAAGCUCUCCUUUUUACUCUUCAGCAGUCUUUCUCCUCCCCAGUUCUGGGGUUAAUGUCUAGCAGGAGGAUGCGAGGGGAGACAAGAUAUGCAGGUGCAGAGAUGAGACAAGCCUGGUUCUGUCAGAUUAUAGCUCCUUUCAAAGGAUUCCCGAUUUAUACCUCUCUCCAUUUGAACUCAAUAGUCAAAAUAUUUGUAGGGUUUGUUUCUUCCUUCCCAAAGCAAGAAAUAAGUUGUGUCCAGUUGUCCAGGCUGGAGUAGAAGUCAAGGCAGGUUCACAGAACACUAGUGCAGAAAUUUGACGAGCAAAGGCUUGCAGGGAGGAAGGGGAGAACACUCAUUAAAUCAUUUCUUCUCAUGCUGCCUUGGUGGGCGUGGAGGACAGGUUGCAGAUUUCCUUCCCUGCUUUGCUAUUUCAUGAUGGUGGGUAAUUUACUAGAUCAUGUCCUGCUGCAUGUUUUCAAUAGUCUCCAAAACUGUCUUAGCUGACCCAUGUCAGACACACACACAUACACAUACACACACACACACCCCACAUACCUGGAGCCCACUGAUCCUACUGAUCCAGUUUACAGAAAGGGGAAAAUGAGAAGUAGAGCCCUGGGAAGAGGCAGGGAGUCAAAAAUCCUACGUCCUAUUCUGGGCUCAGCCACACGCCGGUGGUGUGAUUGGACUCACUUGCUUCCCCUCUCGCACUGUGGUUUCCCCAUCUGGAACCCAGUGGCCCUAAAAUAGUACUAUUUCUCAGCCCUGGGGGAGGAGGGACAGGCCAAGAGAGUCCAUUGCCCAAAUCAAUAAUAAUGAUGAUAACAGCAGUGAUUAUACUUUCCAAACUUACAACACUUCAUCUGCUCAACCCUCCCUGCUUCUUUUAAAGUAAUCAUACAAGAAAAUAUACCAGCAGAAGAACAGCUUCUCACUGGACUUUCCUGACUCUGGGACUCAGCAUAAGUCACUGUGGAACACCUUUGUUUUGUUCCUGAUUCUGCCUCUAAUUGCCGAGUGACCUUUGCCAGAUCACUUCAUCCUGUAGGUCUGCAGGAUUGUUUGUUCCAUCAGAGGACAGUGCCAAAUUGUUCCCAAGGCUCUUUCAGUUCUAGGAUUCUGUGUUUUGGUUGAGCACCGUAUUAGUUUCUGACAGCUGCUAUAACAAAUUAACACAACUUUAGUGGCUUAAGAAAACAGAAAUGUAUGCUCUUUCUGUUCUGGAGACCAGAAGCCUGAAAUCAAGGUGCCAGCAGGGCCACCCUCCAGGCUCUAGACGAUAAUCCGUUGCUUGCCUCUUCUAGCUUCUGGUUGCUGCUGACAUUCUUUGGUGUUCUUUGGCACGUAGCUGUGUCACUCCAACCUCUGCCUUCAUAGUCACAUUGGCUUCUGUGUAUGUCUCAAAUAACUCUCUGUUUCUCUGUUAUAUGGAUGGUAUUUAGGGCCCACCCAGCUAAUCCAAGAUGAUGUCCUCAUCUCAAGAUCCUGAACUUCAUCACAUCUACAAAGACUCUUUUCCAAAUAAGGUCACACUUCUGGGCUCCAGAGAUUGAGACAUAGACAAACCUUGGGGAAGAGGGAUGGUGGUUAUUUCUCGGCCUACCAACCAUGACAAGCUCAAGGUCCAGGGAGAUUUGAGACAUGCAGGAGAGUGCACCCCUGUUCCACAAGGGCAAGUAGUCCAAUUGAGAAGUCAUCACUCACAUGCAAUACUGUCAAGGAACAACACAAGCCAGGAGGUAGCAAGCAUAGAGAGCCUGUGUAGCCUUGGGAAAAGAGCAGGGGCUCUGGACCUCGACGCCCUGGGUUCACAUCCAAGCCUUACCACCUGCCAGCCAGGGAACCUUGAACAAAUUAUUUAAUGUCUCUGGGGAAAAUUAUACUUACUGUAUAGGUAUGUUAUAAAGAUUAAGUAUAGGCCAGGUUCAGUGGUUCACACCUCUAGUCCCAGCACUUUGGGAGGCCAAGGUGGGAGGAUCACUUGGGGUCAGGAGUUGGAGACUAGCCUGGGCCACAUAGCAAGACCCAGUCUCUACAAAAACAAAAAAAUUAGCCAGGGUGGUGGCACACCCCUGUAGUCCCAGCUACUUGGGAGGCUGAGGUGGGAGGAUUGCUUGAAUCCAGGAGUUGCAGUCUGAAAUGAGCUAUGAUUGCACCAUUGCACUCUGGCCUGGGUGACAGAACAAGACCCUAUCUCCCCAAAAUAAAAAUCUAAAAAAAGAUUAGCUAUAAUAUGUUCAGUGACUAGCAUCUAAUAGGCGCUUAUGAUUCAGCAGCAAAUAAACGGGACAGCAAAAGGCAAGUGUGUGUGUGUACAUGCAUACGUGUCUGGCACUGUCUGCUAAGACAGUUUUGGAGACUACUAGGAGCAUGUACCAGAACAUGAUGGCGUAACUAGAGUGAUUCUCCACUGAAUGAUGAAGGACCAAGAACAGAAAAGUGAAAUGACUUGCUCCAGUUUGCACAGGAGGUCAUCACACAGAUGGGUCUAGAACCAAGGUUUUCUAGAAAGCAUUUUCCUCCACUUCCCAAAACUUUUGCUGUCAGGAUGAAUUUUUUGGAUGAUAUUUCUACAGACAGCAAGGGACGUCCGUUUACACCCUUGGUUUAGCCAGAGAAUAUUGCAGAUGACCAAGCCCACAGGCUCACACAAAUCCAACCCUUCAGGCUGUCUUUAGCUUGAUGCUCCACAACCAUGGGUUGACACAAUCACCAACAGAGAAAGGGAAGCUAGAUAGCCCUUCUUCACUCUCCACUGCUCAGCGGGCAUCCCUCCACAUGGAUGGUUCCUUUGAGUGUGGCUUUUGCCAUAAAAAUGAGAUAAGAGGGACAGAGGAAAUGCUCUUUACUGCCAACUCUCUGCUCCUAUGUACAGAUCUUCACCUGAGUCAAUGUUUAACCCCUGACUGGAGUCAAUGUUUAAUCCCAGGCCAGCCAGCCCUGCAAUCCAGCAUUCCUCAUCUAGCCUAAAAUACAGAGUCAUUUUAGAAUCAACCACUGAAGAAUAAAAUUGUGACUGAAUUUGCCAAAGCUAAA